rnacentral:rRNA from 1 species
UUCCGGUUGAUCCAGCCGGACCCUACUGCUAUCGGGGGAGGACUAAAACAUGCAAGUCGUGCGCCUCCAAGCCAUGGUGGAGACGCGGCAUACGGCUCAGUAACACGUGGCUAACCCACCCUUGAGACGGAGAAAACCCCGGGAAACUGGGGCUAAUCCCCGAUAAGAGAAGACACCUGGAACGGGUCUCCUCUCAAAAGGCGCCUAUACCAUGCUUUUAGGCGCUGCUCAAGGACGGGGCCGCGGCCGAUCAGGUUGUUGGUGAGGCAACGGCUCACCAAGCCUAUAACCGGUACGGGCCGUGAGAGCGGGAGCCCGGAGAUGGGCACUGAGACAAGGGCCCAGGCCCUACGGGGCGCAGCAGUUGCGAAAACUCCGCAAUGCACGAAAGUGUGACGGGGCUACCCCGAGUGCCGUCCGCUGAGGGCGGCUUUUCCCCGGUGUAAGGAGCCGGGGGAAUAAGGAGAGGGCAAGACUGGUGUCAGCCGCCGCGGUAAUACCAGCUCUCCGAGUGGUGGGGAUGAUUAUUGGGCUUAAAGCGUUCGUAGCCGGCCCGGCAAGUCUCCCGUUAAAUCCAGCGAUCUAAUCGUUGGACUGCGGGAGAUACUGUUGGGCUAGGGGGCGGGAGAAGCCGACGGUACUCUCGGGGUAGGGGUGAAAUCCUAUAAUCCCGGGAGGACCACCAGUGGCGAAGGCGGUCGGCUAGAACGCGCUCGACGGUGAGGGACGAAAGCUGGGGGAGCGAACCGGAUUAGAUACCCGGGUAGUCCCAGCAGUAAACGAUGCGGGCUAGGUGUUGGGGCGGCCACGAGCCGCUUCAGUGCCGCACGGAAGCAAUUAAGCCCGCCGCCUGGGGAGUACGGCCGCAAGGCUGAAACUUAAAGGAAUUGGCGGGGG